rnacentral:rRNA from 1 species
GCUGGAGAAGGUCCCAAGGGUUGGGCUGUUCGCCCAUUAAAGUGGCACGCGAGCUUGGUUCAGAACGUCGUGAGACAGUUCGGUCCCUAUCCGCCGUGGGCGUAGGAAUCUUGAGGAGUGCUGUGCUUAGUACGAGAGGACCGGCAUGGACGAACCUCUGGUGUACCAGUUGUGGCGCCAGCUGCAGCGCUGGGUAGCUAUGUUCGGAUCGGAUAAACGCUGAAAGCAUCUAAGUGUGAAACCGACUCCAAGAUUAGGAUUCCCUGAAGACCCCUUGAAGAUGACAAGGUUGAUAGGCUACAGGUGUAAGCGCAGUAAUGUGUUCAGCCGAGUAGUACUAAUAGGUCGUUCGGCUUGAUCAA